rnacentral:rRNA from 1 species
UACGAAGGGGACUAGCGUUGUUCGGAAUUACUGGGCGUAAAGCGUGCGCAGGCGGUGAGCUGUGUCCGAUGUGAAAGCCCCGGGCUUAACCUGGGAAUGGCAUUGGAAACUGGCUCGCUGGAGUGUGGCAGAGGGGGGUGGAAUUCCGCGUGUAGCAGUGAAAUGCGUAGAGAUGCGGAGGAACACCGAUGGCGAAGGCAGCCCCCUGGGCUAACACUGACGCUCAGGCACGAAAGCGUGGGGGAGCAAACAGG